GACAGAGGGUGCAAACGUUGUUCGGAAUUACUGGGCGUAAAGCGCGUGUAGGCGGCUAUGCAAGUCGGAUGUGAAAUCCCGCGGCUCAACCGUGGAAGUGCAUCCGAAACUGCGUGGCUAGAGUCCCGGAGAGGAAGGUGGAAUACUUGGUGUAGAGGUGAAAUUCGUAGAUAUCAAGUGGAACACCGGUGGCGAAGGCGGCCUUCUGGACGGUGACUGACGCUGAGACGCGAAAGCGUGGGUAGCAAACAGGAUUAGAUACCCCUGUAGU
rnacentral:rRNA from 1 species